GUAAACCCUAAUGUUGUCUUUACUUAAACAAUCAAGUACUGUUGACUAAACAUUACUUAAAAUUUUGCAUUUUGGCCCUGUCACUUAAAAAUAUGAGUUGAUUUAACCUAUUUACUUUCAAAAUGCAUAAACUUAAGAUUUCAAGUGAUGUGUGCUCAAAAUCAUGAUUAAUCCUUUGAAAAAAAUAGGUAAUUUUCACAAAUGUAGUCUUCUUGACUGUAAAAUUAUAAUACCAUGUGCCACUUUUGUGCAAGGUCUUUUCUCUCUUUUUUUUAACAGACAACAAAUGGCUUCAAUUACAAUUAUUGACCAUAAUGGGAAUAAAUAUACUUAUUUUUAUUUGGGGGAAAAACUUUUCAAAGUGGAUUAACUUUAAUACAUAUUACAAGUGUUUUUGUGACAAUAGGUUGCAGUUUUCACUCAAAAGCCUUUUGUAUGCACGUACAUUUCUGUAACGUUAAUAUACACAUUAACACACAUACACGGAACAUGAUAAAAUGCGUGAAAGAGUUCCUCACAGCCUCCUCCCACGUUUCAUCAAAAAUCAUCCUAAUCGCCUCAUUCUGUUAUCGAUAUGGUUUUGUAGGUUUCUUUUUAUUUCAUGCGAUCAGAAACGUGCCGCGCUCCGUUUAUGUUCAAAUCUUUCCCACUUUCCUCCGAAAGCGGCUGUCAUUUGCAGAUGGACAGCGUGAAAUUACUUUAAUACAGCUGUAUAUUUCCGACAAGCACAUGUGUACAAUCGGGACAAUUUCAAUGAUUUUGAUAGUGCAAACGGUUGAAGAAAAUACACUUUGUUUGUAUGUGUGUGCGACCACACACAUUCAGUUUCAUAAAUUUGCUUGAUCUGUUCUUGCUCUAAUGUGAUUGGCCAUGCAAGGAGUUCUGCCUAGCAACAAGACAACUAAUGCACUGAUUGGUGGAUCACAAAAUUGGUCCUGACCUUUUGGCCUGGCCUUCAGUUGCUGGCUGCUGACACCAAAUUUCAAGACUGAAGUUUUUCUUCGUGUGCUAUGUUCGGUGACAUGAGAUAAGGAGAUGUGGAAAUGAUUCCUUGAGGGUUUUACUGCGGAGAGAUUCUGCCGUUUUUGCAUGGGAACAAGAACUGAGGUUCAGCACACAGAGGUAGGUUCCAGCAACUUUGAAACUCGCACUAAAGACACUCAUGACAGGCAUGUUAAGGAGGUAAAGCAGGAUCCUUCUUUGAGUAAGCUGUAUGGAGUGAGAGGAAGCUGUCCGCUUACUGAUGCUUUGCAACAUUUUCAUGCUGUCACUGGCUACCCACCAGAUAUUUUACAUGACCUACUAGAGGGCAUUGUGCCAGCUGAACUCUGUCUCUGCCUUUCAGAGAUGAUUGAAAAGAAAUACAUCUCUCUCGAGUCAGUGAACCAUGCAAUUAAGUACUUUGCUUACACUUUCUCCGAUAAAACUAACAGACCACAGCAAAUUCCAAAGGCUUUUGCCACCAAAGGAACAAUUGGUGGCAAUGGCCACGAAAAUUGGACCUUGCUUAGACUUCUUCCUCUUUUAAUUGGAAAUGAUGUCCCAGAAGGAGAUACUUCAUGGGAAAUUUUGAUGCUUCUUAAAGAUAUAGUUGAAUUGGCUGUGGCAUCAAAACAUACAGAAGAGUCCAUAGAUUUCUUGAAGUGCAAAAUAACAGAACACAGAGAACUGCUGCAAUCAACAUUCCCUGGUUUUAGAUUGAAACCAAAGCAUCAUUUCGUUGAGCACUACCCCCAGCUGAUUAAAGCCUUUGGCCCACUGUCUGAUGUUUGGACAAUGCGUUUUGAGGGAAAGCACAAAUUUUUCAAAAAAGUAAUUCGGGAAUCUCAAAACUUCAAAAAUGUAGCCCUCACACUGGCUGUCCAACAUCAGAGAAUGAUGGCAUACUAUCUGGAUUCUAGCUCAUUUUAUAGACCCUCAAUUGAAAUGGACAAAGUCAAAACCGCACUGGUUACGUCAUUUCCUGAUCAUAUUCAGCAGGCGUUCCAUCAAAUUACACCACAGCUAAAGACAGUGCUGAUUGCUUCCUCUGUGACAGCUGAUGGAAUUGAAUACCGUGCAGAUAUGGUCAUCUCUGCUGGGUCAUGCUCUGGUCUCCCAGAAUUCAAGAUGAUAUCACAGAUUGUAGCAGUGAACUCUGAGAUUCUGUUUCUCUGUAAACAAAUGUCAGCUUGGUACAUUGAGCAUAUUCGGUCAUUCGAACUUUGCAGCAGCCAUGUUACUUCCCUCUGUGUGAUUCAGAUGUCAGAGCUCAAUGAGGUUUUCCCUCUGUCAUGCUACAUGGUAAAAGACAGGAUGGUGGUGACACCUAAACGUUAUAUCUUGUGCUAAGUGAAUAAUCCAAUAUUUCUCCUUUUCUCUCUUUUUUUUUCUCUAGUCUUUUGGUUGCAGUGAAGCCCUUAAAGUCCCAAGUGUUAUCAUCAAGCUUCAUAUGAUGUCUUCUCAAGAGAAAACUCUCCUAAGAGUUAUACUGACAGAAGGGGACAUAAGGAAGGUCUCCCUAGCCAAGAAGCCGGAUUCAGUUGACAACUUGGUUGUUGCUUUAAAAGAGAGUUUGGGGCUUAAUUACAACUUUUCGCUUCAGUAUGAAGAUCAGGACUUUGGGAAUGCACUUUGCAACCUAACGGACAUAUCAGAGCUUCAAGAUAGAGCUACACUGAAAAUCAUUCCUAUAAUUGAACUAGAAGCACUGAAUCAAGAGGAAGUACUGGAUGACUCUGCAAGCACAGCCGACACAGAGAUACUUUCUACCUCAUCACAGGAAAGGAAAACACAGUGGCCAAAAGAAUUUGAGAUCCCUUCCUUCACAGUUGAUGUUGAAUACCGCCUGCGACAGGGCAACCUGACCUACCUCAAGGACUGCACGUACCUCAAACUGACCAAAGAACUAAAGCAUGACAUCCUGGAAAAGCUGGCUGAAACCAUGUUCAGUUUCAAAGCCUAUCCAACAAAUGAUGACUAUGCACAGGUUGCUGCUGCUCUGGUAAAUAAGCAUCCAUGUCUUCUGGAAAGUGGUUCAUCUACUGGCUGGGGGGGUGGAAGAAUAGUCUAAAAUUCAAAAUGGGGAAUUUUAGAUCCAAGAUGAGAAACUUGGGAUACCCUGAUGUAACCAUUAAUGGAGGAAGGAGAGGCAUGAACAACCCUGAAGGAAUCCCGUCAAGAAAACGCAUAAAGAAGCCAAAGAAAUGUGAAAUCAACUUUCUGCCAAACUUUCCAGAAGGACAUAAUAAUGACAGCCUUGAAUUGGUUCGUAAAGAAAUUCAAUAUGAAAUGAAGAUGAGAACACCCAGUCCAUCCCUUCUGGCACAACAGAUGGACUUGACUUUUGCGCUUAGACGUAAAGAGAUUGUUGAGUCCGCACCUGCAAUCAGUGAUGUGCUUGAACGCUGGCCUGCCCUCUUUCGUGAGUCUCAGGUUUGCAUGGAGUUCAAUAGAAUUACGGGCAAAAAUCUAAAGCAGGAAUUCUACGAAAACCUGGACAGACACAGUUCACGGUUCAUGGACCUUUUCAAAACCAAAAGGGGGACUCCUGGUCAGCACUUGUUGAACUUUUUACAGCAAAUAAAAUCAGACCAGCCAACUGAGGUCCGAACCCUUGUUCUUCGAGGACUGCCUAUCAUGCUCGGAGAUGAAGACUCUUCUUUCUUCAAGUCAUCUUUAGUGUCUGAUCAUCGUAACACUAUCCUUGAUGUGCCAGUGGGGAUCUUAUUCGAGGACACGGAUCUUCAGCCCCCAAACUCCUUGCAUUUGACUUCUUCGAUUGGAAUAAUUCUUGAAGGCCAAGUGGUGAUGGACAAAAUGCAGGACCUCCCACAGGCAAUCUGUAUUCUCUUCGGUCUGAUUUACGCACUAGACCUGAAUUACCCAAAAUCACUCGCCAACACGUUUGAUUUCAUCCAGCGUGUACUAAUGUCAAUGGGACAAAAUGCUCUCAAGCCUAGAGUGCAGUCUCUGGCAAACCAACUAUUUGCUUAAGAAACGUCACUGUGAUACUUAAACACCAUCCUUUGUAUUGGGUUUUUUCCCCCACGAUUUACUCCAUUAUCCAUUUAUAAAGAAUAAAAAGUGUUUAAAUUGUUAAAUGCACAGAGUUCUUCAAUUGAUGUGCAGUUGUUAAUUUGAGAUAUUGUUGCCAUUGUUACACCUCUGUAAUGUGGUUGUGACCCAGUAAUAUUUCCAUUACAGUAUAGUUUGUACUGUAAUAUUGUGACAUUUGGACCAAAGACACUGAACAUGUUCAUUAUGUUUUAUUUUAGUUUGCCGUGUUUGCACAAAGCUUAAAUGGUGAAAUGCAGUAA